rnacentral:lncRNA from 1 species
UAAUCGAUCAACUCUAUAUAGAUUUUUUUAAUAAUAAAUACACUGUUUAAUAGUUUAGAAAACGUAUAAACUAUUCAAUAAGAGUGUACGCCAAAGCCAAUAAAUAAUCUAGCAAAAAAAACAAACGAGGCAAAUACAUUAGAUCAAUCAAGUAGCGUUGCUCAGGCGGAAACCGAUCACUGCCGCCGAUAUGCACACAAUGCCAAUAUGGCAUGGAACAGCUAGUCUUUUCACAAUCGCCAUGGCUCCACAUGUGCCAACGCCCCUUGGAUGAAUCAGUACCCUAUUGAGACUCAGAGCAACGUAACGGUGAAAACAGGACGGAUAUUUCACAGUAGCCCGAGAUUUUAUUUGGGACAAAUUCAGGUUAAAAAUCAAGGUACCUGGCCAAGAUUUUGCACAGAUAUUAGGUCGAAUAUGUAUAUUUUUCAACGGAUACAAGAUCAGGUUCGGGAAGACAUUACAUGACGGAUCGUGCUGGAGAGCGAGAAGCACACAAGAACGGCGAUAGCUAGGUGGAGGGGACGGGGAUGCGACGCCGGUGGAGAGAGGGGUGGAGAAAGUGAAGAUCAGAGGAAGAAGAUGAAUCUAACAGGUGGGUCCCAUGUGCGGAUAGAGAAGAAAAUGGAAAAU